rnacentral:lncRNA from 1 species
GCGCUCAGCCCCGCCCCUGGCUCUGCCCCCGCCGCGGAGCGGAACCCUCCAAGUCGCGGCCUGAGGAGGAAGGAAAAGGGGGCGGCCCGGGAGAGCCGCUGCGAAAUCAGCAACGGGCGGGAACCAGGUUGCCUCCCUGAGUCCCUUCUCUCCCCGGCCGGCUGCCAACCACAGCCAAGGCCAGAGAAACAGGCCCUUCUGCCGCGGCCACCUGGGCGCCUUGGACCCGCCCUCCGGACUCGCCCCCGCCCCUGCCGCGGAGUGGAACGUUUGGAACCCUGAGGGGCACAGAUGGCGUCUCUCUCUGUUGCCCAGACUGGAGUACAAUGGUGUGAUUUCGGCUUACUGCAACCUCUGCCUCCCAGGAUCAAGCGAUUAUCCUGCCUCAGCCUCCUGAGUAGCUGGGACUACAGGGUCUCACUUUGUCACCCAAGCUGGAAUGCAGUGGCCCCAACAUAGCUCACUGCAGCCUUGAGCUCCCGGGCUCGUGAUCCUCCCGCCUCAGCCCUCCAAGUAGCUGGAAUUACAGGAGCCUGCCACCACGCCCAGCUAAUUUUUGUAUCUUUUGCAAAGAUGGGGUUUUGCCAUGUUGCCCAGGCUGGUCUCAAACUCCUGAGCUCAGACAAUCUGCCCGCCUCAGCCUCUCAAAGUGCUGGGAUGACAGCAUGAACCACUGCACCUGCCCUGGUCAAUUAUUAAGUGUGUUAAAAUCCAAUGGAGAGAUGUGAUUCUAGUCCUGC